UUUACCAUAAAUACGAAACACAUAUGUAACAAUACACAUGUAUGACAUUUGCAGGUGAUGAAUAAUUAGAAAAGGUUGUUAAAAGGAAAUUUACCUUUUUCUGGUUUCACCAACUGAAGAUGUGUUGGUCCACACUCUGGCUUGUAAAGCAGAACUUUCUCUUCAUUAACCCCUCUGAGCCAACACUUCCUGAACUCUUGCCACAUGAACAACCAGGGUCACCACCUCAACGUCUGUGCACAGGAUGUGUCUGUGUAAACACACCGCCAACCACUCCUUCCUCUAACGCUGAACAGCCUGCAAAAAACAAGCCUCCCACAGAUACCACUACAACCAAGACUACCCUUGUGGGGCUCUAUGUCAUGCAGAAGAACCCCUUUUGCCUCAACCUUGACCUUCAUCCAGCAAGAGCAACAGGGUCAGUGGUGGCCUAGUAGGUAAGGAAGCAGCCCCGUAAUUGGAAGGUUGCCGGGUCGAAUCCCGAACCGCCAAAGGGUCACUGAGGUCUCCUUGAUCAAGGUACCAUCCCCACACACUGCUCCUCACACAGCGCCCACUGCUCCCUCAGGGGGAUGGGUUAAAUGCAAAGGACACAUUUCACUGUGUGCACUGGGUGCUGUUCUGUGGUGUGUCACAUGCGACAACUAAUCACUGU
ensembl:lncRNA